GACGAACGCUGGCGGCGUGCUUAACACAUGCAAGUCGAACGGAAAGGCCCUGCUUUUGUGGGGUGCUCGAGUGGCGAACGGGUGAGUAACACGUGAGUAACCUGCCCUUGACUUUGGGAUAACUUCAGGAAACUGGGGCUAAUACCGGAUAGGAGCUCCUGCUGCAUGGUGGGGGUUGGAAAGUUUCGGCGGUUGGGGAUGGACUCGCGGCUUAUCAGCUUGUUGGUGGGGUAGUGGCUUACCAAGGCUUUGACGGGUAGCCGGCCUGAGAGGGUGACCGGCCACAUUGGGACUGAGAGACGGCCCAGACUCCUACGGGAGGCAGCAGUGGGGAAUAAUGCACAAUGGGCGGAAGCCUGAUGCAGCAACGCCGCGUGCGGGAUGACGGCCUUCGGGUUGUAAACCGCUUUCGCCUGUGACGAAGCGUGAGUGACGGUAAUGGGUAAAGAAGCACCGGCUAACUACGUG
rnacentral:rRNA from 1 species